rnacentral:piRNA from 1 species
UGUGGGUAAGAUGAAAAACUGUGGCCCAACA